rnacentral:rRNA from 1 species
GAUGAACGCUGGCGGCGUGCCUAAUACAUGCAAGUCGAGCGAACAGACGAGGAGCUUGCUCCUCUGACGUUAGCGGCGGACGGGUGAGUAACACGUGGAUAACCUACCUAUAAGACUGGGAUAACUUCGGGAAACCGGAGCUAAUACCGGAUAAUAUAUUGAACCGCAUGGUUCAAUAGUGAAAGACGGUUUUGCUGUAACUUAUAGAUGGAUCCGCGCCGCAUUAGCUAGUUGGUUAGGUAACGGCUUACCAAGGCAACGAUGCGUAGCCGACCUGAGAGGGAGAUCGGCCACCCUGGAACUGAGACACGGUCCCGACUCCGACGGGAGGCAGCAGUAGGGAAUCUUCCGCAAUGGGCGAGAGCUUGACGGAGCAACGCCGCGUGAGUGAUGAAGGUCUUCGGAUCGUAGAACUCUGUUAUUAGGGAAGAACAAAUGUGUAAGUAACUAUGCACGUCUUGACGGUACCUAGUCAGAAAGCCACGGCUAACUACGUG